rnacentral:rRNA from 1 species
UAGGGAAUCUUCCGCAAUGGGCGAAAGCUUGCCGGAGCAACGCCGCGUGAGUGAUGAAGGUCUUCGGAUCGUAAAACUCUGUUAUUAGGGAAGAACAAAUGUGUAAGUAACUAUGCACGUCUUGACGGUACCUAAUCAGAAAGCCACGGCUAACUACGUGCCAGCAGCCGCGGUAAUACGUAGGUGGCAAGCGUUAUCCGGAAUUAUUGGGCGUAAAGCGCGCGUAGGCGGUUUUUUAAGUCUGAUGUGAAAGCCCACGGCUCAACCGUGGAGGGUCAUUGGAAACUGGAAAACUUGAGUGCAGAAGAGGAAAGUGGAAUUCCAUGUGUAGCGGUGAAAUGCGCAGAGAUAUGGAGGAACACCAGUGGCGAAGGCGACUUUCUGGUCUGUAACUGACGCUGAUGUGCGAAAGCGUGGGGAUCAAACAGG